UACGAAGGGGGCUAGCGUUGCUCGGAAUCACUGGGCGUAAAGGGUGCGUAGGCGGGUCCUUAAGUCAGGGGUGAAAUCCUGGAGCUCAACUCCAGAACUGCCUUUGAUACUGAAGAUCUUGAGUUCGGGAGAGGUGAGUGGAACUGCGAGUGUAGAGGUGAAAUUCGUAGAUAUUCGCAAGAACACCAGUGGCGAAGGCGGCUCACUGGCCCGAUACUGACGCUGAGGCACGAAAGCGUGGGGAGCGAACAGG
rnacentral:rRNA from 1 species